GCGGGUGUAGCUCAGUUGUUUAGAGCGCUUCCUUGCCAAGGAAGAGGUCGAGAGUUAGAAUCUCUUCACCCGCACCA
rnacentral:tRNA from 1 species